GUGGAAUGGGGGAGGAGAGGAACACGGCAAACAGGGAGUAGGAGAGGACAUAGAGGAGCAGAAUUAACAGUUUUGGCCCAGAGCAUGUGAUAUGAAUAAAAUUUGAGAGAAUAGGUGCAGUGAAAAACAGGACAAAAGUGUCUAUCAGCUUCCUUUGUGCACGCAGGCAGAAUCCAGCUGGAGACACCGGAGGAAACCCAGACACAACAUGGGAAGAACAUGCUUUCACACAGAGAGCAGUCCAAGCUCAGGAUGGAACCAGGGACCCUGGAGCUUUGAGGCAGCCAUGUUACCCACAACAGCUUGCUGUCACAACUGGUCCAAUACCAGAACAUUUAGUAAAAUGGCUGCUGCAGGGAGCCAUCAACAGGCCAAUUUGUUUGUUUUGCUAACCAAAACAAGACAAUAUUAAACUUUUUGUAAAUAAUA